rnacentral:lncRNA from 1 species
ACGCCAGAUAACAAAGGUCGUGUGUGCGAUCGGCAUCGCUGUGGCGCGCCCGUGCCAUGCGCGCGGCCACGUCGCACGCCCACGCCGUCAUUUCGUCGCGACGGUCACGCCAAAACGACUUGGUGUCGUCAGUGGCGCUGAUGGUGGCGAUGCACAGCGCCUGCACGGGGUGAACACAGACGCGGUCGACCAGACACUCGGUGACUGGCAAGGCGAGGACGGUCUCGACCAGCGCCACGCCGUCGACAUCGGGCAACCGCCGAACGGCCCUCCACGUGCUGUCCUGAUCGCGGUACGAGCCCGGAUCGUAGACGCACAGGUCCCAGCGUCGCGUGGCGGCCCACAGCGCGGCCCACACCAGCGACCCUAUACCGGCGUUUCCCGCCGGGGCGCCCGCCGCGGCCAGGGCCUGCGCGCAAUGGACGGCGCCGCACCCGAUGGCGAACGGCAAGAGUCCCUGCGCCGGCGGUACGUGCGGCGCGUAAAAGGGCUGCGUGGGGCGUGGCGCAUCGAACCGCGUCGGCCGAUCGAGGCCCGUGAGGCGCGCGCAGCCUUUGGCCUCGAUCGUGGGCCGGUACGUGACGGGCGCGGCGAGAUCGAACGCGGGCAGCGCAUCCAAGAGCAGCGCGAGUCGUCGCGGCUUGUCCAAAGCCACGGCCGAGUAAACGGCGGCGCGCGCGACGUCGGCGGGGUCGCACCCCGGCAUGCGCACAGACACCAGCGACGCGGCCCACGAUUUGGCCACGGUUUCCAUGGCGUCGGCUCCGACACGCGCCCACUCGCGGCAGACCAGGCGCGCGCUGGCCACUGUCGUCGCGCAAUCGCACGCAACGAGGACGAGCAGGGUCAACUCGUCGGGCAGAGUCAACCACGGAGCCGCAAGAGGACGACAACUCGCCCCGCCAACCAACAAGCAUGGCGUCGUCAUCGGCGCCGCCGUGUCGCAACCAGCGCCACUGUUCUUUUUUUUUGCUUUUAUUUACAAUAUCUCUGGCUUUUGGCCGCCCGCCCUCAGCCUUUUGCUUUUUUCCUUCCUUUUCGACGUGUCCUUUUUUGAUCGGCGGACAAAAGGGAGAGCGCGCGCUCAAC